AUAAAUGCAAGUUAGGUAUAAAUGCAUUUUUCUGUAUGUAGUUAAUCUGUAUGAAUGGCAAGUAUGGACAUUCUCUGAGCAGCUUGUAUACUGGAGCUUGUGACCUUCAGUACAUACUUUCCUUGAUCCAC